UACGUAGGGUGCAAGCGUUAAUCGGAAUUACUGGGCGUAAAGCGCGCGUAGGCGGCCUCAUAAGUCCGUUGUGAAAGUCAAAGGCUCAACCUUUGAAAGCCGAUGGAUACUGUGAGGCUAGAGUCCGGAAGAGGCGAGUGGAAUUCCUGGUGUAGCGGUGGAAUGCGCAGAUAUCAGGAGGAACACCAAUAGCGAAGGCAGCUCGCUGGGACGGUACUGACGCUAAGGCGCGAAAGCGUGGGGAGCGAACAGG
rnacentral:rRNA from 1 species